rnacentral:rRNA from 1 species
CGUGAGAACGCCCUUUUUUCUCCCUCAGACUAAGGAGCCGGCAUCAGGCGCAGAAUUCUAGCCCAUAACGCCUAACCCCGUCACACCCUCAAGGGUACUCAGCAGUGAUAAAUAUUGUCUAUAAGCGCCAGCUUGACUCAGUUAAAGAAAAUUAGGGCCGGCCAACCCAGUGCCAGCCGCCGCGGCUACACCAUGGGCCCAAGUAGAUAGUCUUCGGCGUUAAGCGUGAUUAAAGAAAAUACACAAUUAGAGUUGAACAUAAAUUUAGCUGUGAUAAGCUUAUUAUUUAGAAAAACAAAAACGAAAGUUACUCUAAUUUUACUUGAAUACACGACAGCUAGGGAACAAACUGGGAUUAGAUCCCCCACUAU